rfam:Serratia symbiotica str. Tucson genomic scaffold scaffold00332, whole genome shotgun sequence.
CUUUAACAAUCUGGAACAAGCUGAAAAUUGAAAAAUGACGGCUAAAGCUUAUCCCUGCGUAGAGGUAUUAGAGUAAGGGUCAAGCUGUCAUGGUGACACUCACCUGUUUGCAAUGCGAAGUGAGACACCUUCGG